rnacentral:rRNA from 1 species
UACGUAGGGUCCGAGCGUUGUCCGGAUUUAUUGGGCGUAAAGAGCUCGUAGGCGGUUUGUCGCGUCUGCCGUGAAAGUCCGGGGCUCAACUCCGGAUCUGCGGUGGGUACGGGCAGACUAGAGUGAUGUAGGGGAGACUGGAAUUCCUGGUGUAGCGGUGAAAUGCGCAGAUAUCAGGAGGAACACCGAUGGCGAAGGCAGGUCUCUGGGCAUUAACUGACGCUGAGGAGCGAAAGCAUGGGGAGCGAACAGG